rnacentral:lncRNA from 13 species
GGCCUUUAACAUUUCAUCAGUUAAAGCUGGUGUGAACUACCACUCUGUCAUGCAAAGUAUUCUACAUUUUAGAGUUAAUUUUCUCUCUCAGAUUUAUAUUUCCUUAUUUAUUUCCACAUUAUUAUGUACCAAAAAUGUCUUGCUUAUAUUCUGUUUCCUAAGCUGUUGAGUCAAAUAUUUUGAUUUCCCGUUUGUAUCAUCCUGAUUGCACUGGCUUUCCCUGGCUCCCUGAGGCUUACUCUUCUGAAAGCUGCACAUCAUUGAAUGAUCAUUAGAUGGAAUCUCUCUCUGUCACCCAGGCUGGAGUGCAUUGGUUCAAUCUCGGCUCACUGCAACCGCCACCAACCAGGUUCAGGAGAUUCUCCUGCUUCAGCCUCUGAAGUAGAUGGAACUACAGUGUCUGUGUUGCCUAGGCUGUAUGCAGUGGUUCAAUCACAAAUCACUGAAGCUUCCCAGGCUCAAGUGAUUCUCCCGCCUCAGCCUCCUGAGUAGCUGGAACUGCAGGUACAUGGCACAGCUUUUUCAUUUUUUUUCUUUAGAGAUGGGGUCUUGCUGUGUUGCUCAGGCUGGUCUCAAACUCCUGGCCUCAAAUGAUGUUCCCACUUCAGUAUCACAAAGUUCUAAGAUCACAGGCAUAAUUACCACAUUCAGUCCUGUUUUUCUUCAUGUUAACCAUAAGCACAUACUGAAAUACAUGUAUGUACAUAGAUAUCUGAAAUAAUGUUAAUUUUAUGCCUGGUAUUAGAUUCUAUAUUUUCUUUAUUUUUAAAGAUAAUUCAUAACUCAUCAAAUUAAUUUUAGACUCCCAAUUUAAAAAAUGUUGAUUUAGUGAAUUAAUCAUAGAACAGAGUUCAAUUUAUGGAAUUUGGCUCUAUCUAUAGCCUCACUAGAAGUCACUUAUUAAGAAAAGGAGGAUAACUUCAAGUCAUUUUUAGUCAUUAUACAAAUAAAAGUCAAUUAAAUUAAAGACA